GGAGGGGUUGGGGAGCGGUCAAACCCAUCAGACUGUAAAUCUGACGCUUCGGCUUCACAGGUUCGAAUCCUGUCCCCUCCACCA
rnacentral:tRNA from 1 species